ACAAUCCCGCGAGAGGAAGCACUUUUGGAAGCGGGCAUGAAGCCAGAGUUGUUGCCGUAGAUCAGGUGGUAAAAGAGAACGGAGCUUGGCGGCCAUAUUUGAAGUGGGUAAAAAUCUGAAAAGCCGCGUUACCAUGAGCACGCAGAGAGCCUUUUCUGGAGAUUGAAAGGAAGUGGAAGAGCCAGGGGAAAGCCAGCUGCUGUGUUAGAAUUUUGACUUCUCAGACUUACUGCCUGUGAAAAGCCCAACCAACCACUUGUAGAAGAACGGAGGUUUGGGCUAACAGCCUCAGUUGAACCCUCAGCCAGCAAUCAACACCAGCUUUUGCCAGCCACGUGAAGAAGGCCAUUUAAAACGUGGAUUCUCCAGCCCAUUGGAGCCACCUCAGGUGACUCCGUGUGGAGCAAAGAAAGGCUAUUUGAGCCCACAUUGCAAAAUUACAAGCAAAUAAAUAAAAUUAUUGUGGUUUUAAGCCACUAAGUUUUGGA